GACAUAGGGUGCGAACGUUGUUCGGAAUUACUGGGCGUAAAGCGCAUGUAGGCGGCCGAGCAGGUCGGUUGUGAAAGCCCUGGGCUCAACCCAGGAAGUGCAUUCGAAACCGCUCGGCUCGAGUCCCGGAGAGGAAGUUGGAAUUCUCGGUGUAGAGGUGAAAUUCGUAGAUAUCGGGAGGAACACCGGCGGCGAAGGCGGACUUCUGGACGAGGACUGACGCUGAGAUGCGAAAGCGUGGGGAGCAAACAGG
rnacentral:rRNA from 1 species